rnacentral:misc_RNA from 1 species
GAUGAAGAACGUAGCAAAAUGCGAUAAGUAAUGUGAAUUGCAGAAUUCAGUGAAUCAUCGAAUCUUUGAACGCACAUUGCGCCCGCUGGUAUUCCGGCGGGCAUGCCUGUUCGAGCGUCAUUUCAACCCUCAAGCCCCCGGGUUUGGUGUUGGGGAUCGGCUCUGCCCUUCUGGGCGGUGCCGCCCCCGAAAUACAUUGGCGGUCUCGCUGCAGCCUCCAUUGCGUAGUAGCUAACACCUCGCAACUGGAACGCGGCGCGGCCAUGCCGUAAAACCCCAACUCACGAAAUGUUGACCUCGGAUCAGGUAGGAAUACCCGCUGAACUUAAGCAUAUCAAUAAGCGGAGGA